rnacentral:rRNA from 1 species
AUGACCAAGCUGGGACGGUGCUUGCUUGUAAAUUCUGUCCUCACAGCAACUCUCACGUACAUCCUUACCUCCUUCGAUCUGAGUGCUUGGUUCAUUAAGAGGAUUGACAAGCUGAGGCGGGGCUUUUUGUGGGCUGGCGAAGAGGUUGCCCAUGGAGGGAAAUGCAUGGUGUCCUGGAAAAAAGUGUGUGCUCCGAAGCUGACUGGGGGCCUCGGUAUCAAGGACUUAAAAUGUUUUGGUAGAGCUCUUCGCUUGCGCUGGCUGUGGAUGGAGUGA